UACAGAGGUCUCAAGCGUUGUUCGGAUUCAUUGGGCGUAAAGGGUGCGUAGGUGGCGCUGUAAGUCGGGUGUGAAAUUCGGAGCUUAACUCCGAAACUGCAUUCGAUACUGCGGUGCUUGAGGACUUGGAGAGGAGACUGGAAUUCAUGGUGUAGCAGUGAAAUGCGUAGAGAUCAUGAGGAAGACCAGUGGCGAAGGCGGGUCUCUGGACAGUUCCUGACACUGAGGCACGAAGGCCAGGGGAGCAAACGGGG
rnacentral:rRNA from 1 species